ACAACCCGUAAGAGAGGAGAAAGGGUUUUCUUUGAAGGAAACCCUAGCCGCCAUGGUCUUCUCGCCUCUCUCUCUCUCCUUGUCAUCGAUGUUUAUGGAAAAAUCACAGUACGCUUUUGCUUUUUACAGCGCGUGCUCAACCAUUUAGGACAAAACAAUUAAUGCUUCACCCUCUUUCUACCACAACUCAACCAAACGAGAUAUAAUCCCUCCCCUCUCUCUAUUUUUUCUUGCUUUUCUGUGUAACAACGGUCAAAAGCUCUGCGAAUCCUUAAUGGGUUUUAUUUUGUUUGAUUUUGAUUACUCGAUUAUUAUUGGUUCAUGAAGAACCCCACAGAUUGACUUCGAUUCGAGUCAAAUCUGACCCUUAAUUUGGUGAUUUACUCGAUUCCUAGCAGUAGAUGUUGGUAUUGAGAGAUGCAAUGGUAAAUUUGCAAAACUCCCACAUCGUUUGAAAACUAGGCUUUGAGGAAUUGGUGUUCUAUAAAUAGAACCCCCAACUUGUAUUUUACAAAAAAAAAAAAAAAAAAAAAAAAAGGUAGACUGGAGAACGAAUAUCACUCUGCAUAUUCAAAAAUCGAAUACCUAGGGUAUCUAGAAAUUUAUGCUUAAGACCUUUAAUUUUCGAUUAAGUUUAAAAUUUUAAUUCUUUUCUUCUGUGUGUUGGCUGAGUUGGGAUUUGAGGAGCAAAGGAAUCUCCAAGUUCAUUCUCGACACUAGGUUGCGCAUCAAAGAGGCCAAGAGCCCAACCACCUUUCUUCAUCGAGUCCGUAUGAGAAAAAGGGAAGCUAAUAUUUGCAUGGAGGCUAAAUCAUGGGUAAAAAAAAUGGUGAAGGCCCAGCUAUGGGUGAAAAUAGCUAACUGGUGUGCUUAGGUAGGUCCACCAAUCUAAACUUUGCUUUUAUAUUCAUUAUUUAUGUAAAUGUAUUUGUAAAACACUUGAUGAUUAUUGAAACCCAUGAGGAUGUAGAACUUAGGAAAACGCUUAGUAUUGUUUAGGAAAGUCGAUCCGAAAAAAACAUUUUUGAACAAGGUCAACUAUUAACUUAGUAUAAAAUAAGAAACUUUAUUUGAUUUAAAGUUCUAAAAUUGGUUUAAUGGUAUGAUUAGUUGUAAAAUGAUAAAAAUGGGAUUUUGGCUAAGUAUAAAACUGGAUCAAUACGAAAUGGAGCUUUGAACUAAUAAGUGACAAGUUUUGGCCUCAAGCCCGUGGUUUAGACAAUGAAACUGUCGGGUAAUUUAGCUUCAAAAAGUAGAGAACUGAAUUGGGAAAUAAAUUGAUUUCAAAAUUUGUAACCUUGUGUAUGCCAAGGAACAAAUUGCGGAUUUUUGGACUUGAGCCAGUUCGGAUAAAUUGGAAAACUAGAUUUGAACUUGUAUGAGAUUUUGAGGGAAAUAAAGUUACUUUGGACCUAGAAGCCCAGAACUUAUUUUGGACUAGAAAAAAAAAAAAAAAAAAAAAACUUGUUGGACCUAAUUUGAGGAAGGGUGGAUCUGGACUUGGGAUACUUUUUGACCUUCUGGGCUUCAAUGAUGAAAUUAGACUUGACAAAUAAAACUUAUAUUUUAUAAAUGUGUGUCUGUGUGCGC